UACAAAACCCUACAUAAAAAU
rnacentral:piRNA from 1 species